rnacentral:rRNA from 1 species
GACGAACGCUGGCGGCGUGCUUAACACAUGCAAGUCGAGCGAGGUCCAACCGAUGGCAACAUCGGGGAAGACCUAGCGGCGAACGGGUGAGUAACACGUGAGCAACCUGUCCCGGAGACUGGGAUAACACCGGGAAACCGGUGCUAAUACCGGAUACCCCCACCGAUCGCAUGGUUCGGUGAGGAAAGAAUUCUAUCGCUUCGGUAGGGGCGUCGCGGGCGUAUCAGCUUGUUGG